rnacentral:rRNA from 1 species
AUGGAUGCGCGGCGGCGCUCCCCGAAGAAGCGCAAGUUCGAGCGAGUUCCGGACCAAGAUUCACCACCGGGGAGCGGCAGCGCCGGCGUCGACCUCAUCAACGCCCUCCCCGACGCCGUCCUCUGCACCAUCAUCUCGCUCCUCCCCACCAAGGACGGAGCCCGCACGCAGGCCGUCGCCCGCCGCUGGCGACCCCUCUGGCGCUCCGCGCCCCUCAACCUCGUCGCCGACUCCACCUUGUCUCGCCAGCAGCGCAAGCGCGUCGUCUACGUCACCAAGAUCCUCGCCGAGCACCCUGGCCCGGCCCUCCGCCUCAAGCUCCCCUACAUCCGCCGACGUGACUACGGCAAGAUCGACGCCUGGCUUCGUUCCCAGGCCCUCACCGAUCUGCAGGAGCUCCACCUCGGCUACGACAGCCAAGACUCCCCCCCCCGCCUUCCCUGCUGUCGCCAUAAUGUUGGCUUUGCUCGCCUCCGCAUCAGUUCCCAGACUCUUAGGAGCAUCGGUUUCUCUGCUCCUUACACACAGGGGCCUUCUCUUUUCCAUGAGCUGGUCAUUGAGGACGCCCCUUGCCUUGAGAGGCUGCUGCCACUCAGUCCAGACUAUGGUCCGACGAUCGUCCGGGUAAUUCGAGCACCUAAGCUGCAGGUAUUGGGUGUGCUGUCAAAGGGCAUAUCCAAACUCCACAUUGGGACCACGGUUUUUCAGGAAAUGACUGCCAUCAGCUUGACAACCACAAUGCGCACGGUGAAGGUUUUGGUUAUUGAAUCUUUUGGCCCUAAUCUUGAUGCAGUAAUUGGCUUUCUCAAAUGCUUUCCCUGCUUGGAGAGGCUGUAUGUCCUUUCGCAGCCAUGGAUGGAGAUGAAAAAUGUGCAAAAAUAUGACCCACUGGAUCCAAUUGAAUGCCUUGAGAGCUAUCUCAAAAGAGUGGUGUGGAAGAACUACAUUGGGGACAUGCUAGAUGUUGAAUUUGCCAAGUUUUUCGUUUUGAAUGCGAAGGUGCUAGAAGAAAUGAAAUUUGUAUCCAGUAACAGUUGCGACCGCCAAUGGAAGCCUAAUCAACACAUGUGCUUACAAGUGGACAGCAGAGCUUCUCCUGAUGCUCGACUUGAAUUCAUUAGUUGUAUGGAUGUUUUAGGAGAUGACAAGCGUACCCAUGAUUUAUCAAUGGCCGAUCCCUUCGAGUGA